rnacentral:lncRNA from 1 species
CAUGACUUCUAAAAUGGCUGACCAUCCAAGCUCAUUCUCUCUCUCUCUGUAGCUCGGAGAUUGCUGAGGGAGCUCCGUGGAGUCAUCUACCACAAAGAAUGACAACCUUUAACCUACAGAGGCCGCAUGAGUGGAAGAGUCCCUGCGAACCCACUGAAGUCUGGGAGGCAAAGCAGAACCAAGAGAAGAGCUUAUCACACCUGGUUUGCCUCAUCUGAAAAUUUGGCUCCGCAGGGAAUGCCAGGAAAAUGCGAGCUGCUGCCGGAAAGGAAAAUCUGUACGGGAGAUAAGAUCGCUGGGAAGAUGUGUGCUGAUCUGCUUUGAGGGAUGAGUCUGAUCCCUCCGUGCAUGGCUUAAUUGGAUUCUAAAGUUGGCUCUUGCUAAAAAGCACAGCUAAGGAAAACUUAGGGACGGAGCAUAUGUCCUCGUUUCUGUUGCUAAUAGAUAA